CAAUUUCUUAAGUAUCUUUAUGCCCUGGUGUAAGUGAUCAGAAUUAUUAUGAAUAAACUGUUUAACAACCAAAAACAAACGUUUUAACGUAUUUUUUAAAACGGAUGAUGGGCCAUAUAGAAUUAUGCGAUAUUUUCCACAUACUGUACAUGUAUCUAGUAGUUAAAUUUAAAAGUUGACCAAAAGUCAUUGCAAAUACACCCA
rnacentral:lncRNA from 1 species